UGUUUUAAAAGUUGAGUCUUUGAAGUUAACGUUUCCGUUUCAGCAAUCUCGCCUCAAACGGGAGUUUGAGAGUUAACACUCCUCUCUUCUCCUGUAUGGAAUUUUCGAGGGGCGUGGAAAGGGUCCCCCCGCCACUCCUUCGGCCCCCUCUUCUUCAGGAAGUUCCAGCCUCCGGAGUUGGCUCUUCGCCCCGCCCUGAUGACAUCAUAAACGCACGCCCUCUGCCCUCCUCAACAAAACACCCGGAUGGAGGCGCACUUCCGAGUCUCGUCAGCUUCUCAGAAUACCUGAAAUUCCUGUAAUAAGGGACGAAACGGUGAAGCUCUUGGUUGGAGACUGAGGAUGGAGAUGGGGCCGUUUAGAAUGCUCAGAUUCAAGAGGCAAGCACAAAGGAGAGUUGACGAAGGGUCCUGAGCAGGGACAGCUGGAAAAGCAGGUGAGUCAGAAGGGAACGCUGCUCUGGCAGGAGGAACAGAUUUCAAGAUGGAGCUCAACAGCAUGAAAUGCCAAAAAGAAGAGCCUAGCUUCUGUUGAGUUUCCUAGUCAUGAGGCCCCAGAUGGUGCCCAGGUGGAGUUGUGUGGAGGGCACACUGCCGUCUAUUGAGACCUACUGAGAGGUAGGAAGUGGAAACAGGAGCGUGGACUCUCCUUUGAGAAAGUGGGCUGUGAGAAAGAGACAGAUCACGGUGGCUGGGGUGAGCACGAAGUUAAGAGCACUUUUCUUCUUUUCUAAGAAUGCUAUGUAAGGCCGUUAGAAAAAGGAACCUGCAUACAGGAAGUCAGAAAACAAAACUAAAAGCUCGGGAGGAAGGAAAGGAACUAGAAGAAGCAAAAGUGUCAAAGACUUUCAAACAGUUCUGUUUUUAAAAAAGCGUUAUACAGAGAGAGGAAUAAAUGUGUCAAGAUGAUGACGGUUGUUGAAUCUAGGCAGAGAGUAUACAGGCCUUCAUAAUAGUAUUCUUUCCAUUUUCAUAUAUAUUUGGCAAUUUUCAGAACAACAGAUGUGACAAAUCUGUGGACCAACCAUAUAUGUUUGAAAAUUUUCUUUUAAAAAUAUUGAGAGAUAUCCAAAUGUAAUGUGAACAUAAAAUUACAACUGAAAAGUUAUGAUUAAAUGUUCACAGCCAUACCUAACCUGAUGGACUGCAGAUAAUAUUGUGGUAUAGACUUAUAAAAAAUUGUUUCGCUUGAAUUUUUUAUUGGAGUUUCUUUAAACUAAGAAGAAGGUCAUGGCCAGGCGUGUGGUUCAUGACUGUAAUCCCAGCACCUUAGAAGGCCCAGGUGGGCAGACCACUUGAAGUCAGGGGUUCGAAACCAGCCUGGUCAACAUGGUAAAACCCGAUCUCUACUAAAAAUAUAAAAAUUAGCCGGGGAUGAUGGUGCAAGCCUGUAAUCCCAGCUAUUUGGAAGGCUGAGACAGGAGAAUCGCUUGAACCCGGGAGGUGGAGGUUGCAGUGAGCUGAGAUCACGCAUGGCAUUCCAGCCUGGGUGACUGAGCGAGACUCUGUCUCAGAAAGGAAAAAGAACAAAGUCAUAAUAUUUUCACACAAUCUACACUUGGCUCUUUAAGUGACAAUUGUGACAAAUAGCAGAAAGAAUUAAGGAAUUCACACAAAAUACCAAUAUUUGGGUGAUACAUAAAGAAAUAUCACAAACACUUUUCAAAAUAUCAUAGUAGCCAAUAUAUAGGGAAUGCGUUUGGUGGGCAUAGAAAGCCAGUUUAGAAAAGAAAAUCACACUGGAACUAUUUUGAUUUAUUUAAAAAUCACUGAACUUCACAUACUGAUUUUAUACAACUUCUGUACAGUACCUUGACUGAAAUCCAAGAGCAAAAGUUAAGAUUCUCCUUUAUUUUUGCUAAACAACUACAAGAUAAACUUGGAU
rnacentral:lncRNA from 1 species